CCCUGGGUGGCACAAACGGUUAAGCACUUGGCUGCUAACCAAAAGGCUGGUGGUUCAAGUCCACCCAGGGG
rnacentral:tRNA from 1 species